rnacentral:rRNA from 1 species
AGCUAAUACUUGCUUUAGCACUCUUGAUUAAUUUCUUGAGUGUGUACUUGUUAAGCCUUUUAAGAAAAAAGUUAUUAACUUAAGGAAUUAUAACAAAGAAGCAACACGUAAAUGGAUUUUCCAUUUUUUAGUGUGUAUCAAUCGAGUUUCUGACCUAUCAGCUUUUGAUGUUAGGGUAUUGGCCUAACAUGGCUAUGACGGGUAACGGGGAAUUAGAGUUCGAUUCCGGAGAGGGAGCCUGAGAAAUAGCUACCACAUCUAAGGAAGGCAGCAGGCGCGUAAAUUACCCAAUUCUAAAGAAGAGAGGUAGUGACAAGAAAUAACAAUACAAGGCCAAUCUGGCUUUGUAAUUGGAAUGAUGGGAAUUUAAAACCUUCCCAAAACUCAAUUGGAGGGCAAGUCUGGUGCCAGCAGCCGCGGUAAUUCCAGCUCCAAUAGCGUAUAUUAAAAUUGUUGCAGUUAAAACGCUCGUAGUUGAAUUUCAAAGAAUCGAUAUUUUAAGUAGCACUUUGUAGAUUAAUCCACAUAACUGAUACUACGUAUCGACUUUGUGCGCAUUUUUCUACUUAUGUGUUCUUUUAAUUAAAAUGAUUCUUUUUAAGAUCUUUCUUUUUUGCUCCGGCAUUUUAGGAGAUCUUGUUACUUUGAGUAAAUUAGAGUGUUCAAAGCAAACAGAUUAUAGCAUCUUUAUGCGUUUGAAUACUACAGCAUGGAAUAACAAAAUUGAACAAGUCAGAAUUUUGUUCUUUUUUCUUAUUUUGGCUUAGUUACGAUUAAUAGGAGUAGCUUGGGGGCAUUUGUAUUCAGAUGUCAGAGGUGAAAUUCUUAGAUUUUCUGAGACAAACAACUGCGAAAGCAUUUGCCUAAAAUACUUCCAUUAAUCAAGAACGAAAGUUAAGGGAGUGAAGACGAUCAGAUACCGUCGUAAUCUUAACCAUAAACUAUGCCGACUAGGCUUUGGAUGAAAGAUUUUAAAAUAAGAGUUUUUCUCUUCUGAGUUAAACUCUUAGAUUGCUUCCUUCAGUGCCUUAUGAGAAACCAAAGUCUUUGGGUUCUGGGGCGAGUAUUCGCGCAAGCGAGAAAGUUAAAAGAAUUGACGGAAGGGCACCACCAGGCGUGGAGCUUGCGGCUUAAUUUGACUCAACACGGGAAAACUCACUAGUUUAAGACAAGAGUAGGAUUGACAGAUUAAUAGCUCUUUCUUGAUUUCUUGGAUGGUGAUGCAUGGCCGUUUUUAGUUCGUGAAUAUGAUUUGUCUGGUUAAUUCCGAUAACGAACGAGAUCUUAACCUGCUAAUUAGCGGCAAAUACGAUAUAUUCUUAUGUGGGAUUGAACACGGUUGAUUUGCUUAUUUUGAAGAAAAUAUUGGGAUGCGUAAAGUGUCCCUUUCCCUUUUCUACUUAAUUCGCUUAUCAUACUGUUUCUUUUUUGCGUAAGAAUGUAUUUGCUUGAUUGUAAAGCUUCUUAGAGGAACGAUGUGUGUCUAACACAAG